rnacentral:pre_miRNA from 1 species
AGUAAGAUUAUUUUUUAGUUUUUUGAUACAAUGUUUUGACUCUUCGUCUUAUUUGAAAUUUUUUGAGAUCAAUAUUUUUGUUCUUACUUGAUGAUAAAAUAUGAAUAAGUACUUUAUGCGUGACUAAUUUUUUAAGUUUUUUACAAAUUUUAUAAAUAAGACGAAUGGUCAAACGUUGGAUACGGAAAAAC